rnacentral:rRNA from 1 species
CGGAGGGUGCAAGCGUUAUCCGGAUUUACUGGGUUUAAAGGGUGCGUAGGUGGGCGAGAAAGUCAGUGGUGAAAUCUCCGGGCUUAACCCGGAAACUGCCAUUGAUACUAUUUGCCUUGAAUACUUUGGAGGUAAGCGGAAUAUGUCAUGUAGCGGUGAAAUGCUUAGAUAUGACAUAGAACACCAAUUGCGCAGGCAGCUUACUACACAGUAAUUGACACUGAGGCACGAAAGCGUGGGGAUCAAACAGGAUUAGAUACCCUGGUAGUCCACGCCCUAAACGAUGGAUACUCGACAUUAGCGAUACACAGUUAGUGUCUGAGCGAAAGCAUUAAGUAUCCCACCUGGGAAGUACGAUCGCAAGAUUG